AGAGUUCGAUCCUGGCUCAGGAUAAACGCUGGCGGCGUGCUUAACACAUGCAAGUCGAACGAAGUUUUUCUUUCGGGAGGAACUUAGUGGCGGACGGGUGAGUAACGCGUGGGUAACCUGCCCUGUACAGGGGGACAACAGCUGGAAACGGCUGCUAAUACCGCAUAAGCCCUUAGCACUGCAUGGUGCAUAGGGAAAAGGAGCAAUCCGGUACAGGAUGGACCCGCGUCUGAUUAGCCAGUUGGCAGGGUAACGGCCUACCAAAGCGACGAUCAGUAGCCGAUCUGAGAGGAUGUACGGCCACAUUGGGACUGAGACACGGCCCAGACUCCUACGGGAGGCAGCAGUGGGGAAUAUUGCACAAUGGAGGAAACUCUGAUGCAGCGACGCCGCGUGAGUGAAGAAGUAUUUCGGUAUGUAAAGCUCUAUCAGCAGGGAAGAAAAUGACGGUACCUGACUAAGAAGCACCGGCUAAAUACGUGCCAGCAGCCGCGGUAAUACGUAUGGUGCAAGCGUUAUCCGGAUUUACUGGGUGUAAAGGGAGCGUAGGUGGCAAGGCAAGCCAGAAGUGGAAACCCGGGGCUCAACCGCGGGAUUGCUUUUGGAACUGUCAUGCUAGAGUGCAGGAGGGGUGAGCGGAAUUCCUAGUGUAGCGGUGAAAUGCGUAGAUAUUAGGAGGAACACCGGAGGCGAAGGCGGCUCACUGGACUGUAACUGACACUGAGGCUCGAAAGCGUGGGGAGCAAACAGGAUUAGAUACCCUGGUAGUCCACGCGGUAAACGAUGAAUACUAGAUGUCGGGUAGCAAAGCUACUCGGUGUCGUCGCAAACGCAAUAAGUAUUCCACCUGGGGAGAACGUUCGCAAGAAUGAAACUCAAAGGAAUUGACGGGGACCCGCACAAGCGGUGGAGCAUGUGGUUUAAUUCGAGGCAACGCGAAGAACCUUACCUGCUCUUGACAUCCCAUUCGAUAGAGGGUAAUGCCUCUAGCCCUUCGGGGGAAUGGAGACAGGUGGUGCAUGGUUGUCGUCAGCUCGUGUCGUGAGAUGUUGGGUUAAGUCCCGCAACGAGCGCAACCCUUAUUGUCAGUAGCCAGCAGGUCGCGCUGGGCACUCUGAUGAGACUGCCGGGGAUAACCCGGAGGAAGGUGGGGAUGACGUCAAAUCAUCAUGCCCCUUAUGAGCAGGGCUACACACGUGCUACAAUGGCGUAAACAGAGGGAAGCGAAGGAGUGAUCU
rnacentral:rRNA from 1 species